GUUGCAUAGUUAUGACUAUGAAUUUCCACACCAACAGAGCUUAAAUUCAAGUCUUAAAAGCUGAUCUGCAGGCAAUUUAACUGUCUCCCAAGUAAAGCUGCUCUUUAAAAGAAGAACAAAAAA